UAGGGAAUCUUCGGCAAUGGGGGGAACCCUGACCGAGCAACGCCGCGUGAGUGAAGAAGGUUUUCGGAUCGUAAAGCUCUGUUGUUAAGGAAGAACGAGUGUGAGAAUGGAAAGUUCAUACUGUGACGGUACUUAACCAGAAAGGGACGGCUAACUACGUGCCAGCAGCCGCGGUAAUACGUAGGUCCCGAGCGUUGUCCGGAUUUAUUGGGCGUAAAGCGAGCGCAGGCGGUUAGAUAAGUCUGAAGUUAAAGGCAGUGGCUCAACCAUUGUAGGCUUUGGAAACUGUUUAACUUGAGUGCAGAAGGGGAGAGUGGAAUUCCAUGUGUAGCGGUGAAAUGCGUAGAUAUAUGGAGGAACACCGGUGGCGAAAGCGGCUCUCGGGUCUGUAACUGACGCUGAGGCUCGAAAGCGUGGGGAGCGAACAGG
rnacentral:rRNA from 1 species